rnacentral:rRNA from 1 species
UACCAGCUCUCCGAGUGGUAGGGAUGAUUAUUGGGCUUAAAGCGUCCGUAGCCGGCUUAGCAAGUUUCCUGUUAAACCCAGCGACUCAAUCGUUGGAUCGCGGGAAAUACUACUAGGCUAGGAGGCGGAGAGGUCAACGGUACUUCUGGGGUAGGGGUGAAAUCCUAUAAUCCCGGGAGGACCACCAGUGGCGAAGGCUGUUGACUAGAACGCGCUCGACGGUGAGGGACGAAAGCUGGGGUAGCAAACCGGAUUAGAUACCCGGGUAGUCCCAGCUGUAAACGAUGCGAGCUAGGUGUUGGGAUGGCUACGGGCCAUUUCAGUGCCGCAGGGAAGCCAUUAAGCUCGCCGCCUGGGGAGUACGGCCGCAAGGCUGAAACUUAAAGGAAUUGGCGGGGAGCACCACAAGGCGUGAAGCUUGCGGUUC